rnacentral:rRNA from 1 species
GACGAACGCUGGCGGCGUGCUUAACACAUGCAAGUCGAACGGUAAGGCCCUUCGGGGUACACGAGUGGCGAACGGGUGAGUAACACGUGGGUGAUCUGCCCUGCACUUCGGGAUAAGCCUGGGAAACUGGGUCUAAUACCGGAUACGAGGCUUGGGGGCAUCCCCGAGCCUGGAAAGAAUUUCGGUCAAGGAUGAGCUCGCGGCCUAUCAGCUAGUUGGUGAGGUAAUGGCUCACCAAGGCGACGACGGGUAGCCGGCCUGAGAGGGUGACCGGCCACACUGGGACUGAGACACGGCCCAGACUCCUACGGGAGGCAGCAGUGGGGAAUAUUGCACAAUGGGCGCAAGCCUGAUGCAGCAACGCCGCGUGAGGGAUGAAGGCCUUCGGGUUGUAAACCUCUUUUAGCAGGGAAGAAGCGAAAGUGACGGUACCUGCAGAAAAAGCACCGGCUAACUACGUGCCAGCCGCCGCAGUAA